UACAGAGACUGCAAGCGUUAUUCGGAUUCACUGGGCGUAAAGGGUGCGCAGGCGGCCUUGUGUGUGAGGCGUGAAAGCCCGGAGCUCAACUCCGGAAUUGCACCUCAAACUACACGGCUAGAGCAUUGGAGAGGGUAGCGGAAUUCACGGUGUAGCAGUGAAAUGCGUAGAUAUCGUGAGGAACACCAGAGGCGAAGGCGGCUACCUGGACAAUUGCUGACGCUCAGGCACGAAAGCGUGGGGAGCAAAAGGG
rnacentral:rRNA from 1 species